GUGUGUGUGCCAGUUGUGUAGUAGAGGUUUAGUGGAAUUGAAAUUCGAAGGCAGUUGGAUGAGGAUCAAAGUGUCGGUUUUGGUGGGAUUGGAUUGUUAGUGAGGUAGUGGGGAGUUAAGAUAUUUUUUAACUUUAUUUUUAUUUUUAUUUUGUUUCCUAAAAUUCCUCUUCUUCCUGACAUUUUUUCUUUUUCUUUUCUCUGCAAAUCCCUUUUGUUUCUUCCUUUGAUUCUAUUCACAAAUCAUUCGUUUGAAUCACUGCGAUUCGAAUUUCUCGAUUUUCUUCGUUUGGCUUAGAGAAGAUUGAGAACCAGUGGAUUUUACUCCAACGACCUAAUUUGUGGGUGUGAUUGCUAUUCAUUGGCG
rnacentral:lncRNA from 1 species